AUUGAACGCUGGCGGCAGGCUUAACACAUGCAAGUCGGACGAGCGGCGGACGGGUGAGUAAUGCUUGGGAAUCUGCCUUAUGGCGGGGGAUAACUACUGGAAACGGUAGCUAAUCCCGCAUACCAUCGGAUGAACCCAUGUGGGAUUAGCUAGUAGGUUAGGUAACGGCUUACCAAGGCGACGAUCCCUAGCUGGUCUGAGAGGAUGAUCAGCGACACUGGGACUGAGACACGGCCCAUACUCCUCCGGGAGGCAGCAGUGGGGAAUAUUGCACAAUGGGGGCAAUCCUGAUGCAGCCAUGCCGCGUGAAUGUAGAAGGCUUUCGGGUUGUAAAGUUCUUUCAGUCGGGAGGCGUUACCGACAGAAGAAGCAACGGCUAACUACGUGCCAGCAGCCGCGGUAAUAC
rnacentral:rRNA from 1 species